AGGAAUGGUCAGGGAGAUGCAUCACUGCUGGCUGUGAAAUGGAAGAAGGGCCAAAAAACAAGACAUCAAGGUGUCUUUUAGAAGCUGGAAAAGGCAAGGAAAUAGAUUUGCUCCCAGAGCCUCUAGAAAUGCACCCCUGCUCCCACCUUGAUUUUAGCCCAUUGAGAUCCAUGUUGGAAUUCUGUCCUAUAGGACUAUAAGGUAAUACAUUUGGGUUGUUUUAACCCACUGAGUCUGUGGUAAUUUAUUACAGCAACAGUGAGAAACUGAUAUAUCAGCAAAUAAGUUGUAGUUGAAGUUUGCUCUCUGAAGCCUUUGUUACGAAAAAAAUAUUUUUUCAAAGUAGAAAAUUAUAGUACUAAAUCAUAAUUUUUAUUUUUUUAAUCAUAAUUUUUAGAAUACUGCCAGAUUCUUACUAUUCCCUUCUUCUCUUCUCUCUCUUGUCUCGAGAAUCGCUCUUCUCACCCAUUCCUACCUCCACAAAGCAGGGGUGGAAGGUAGGAUUAAAGAACCGUGCCCCUCUGGUGUGGCAGGGCAACAGAAUGCGGCUAGUAGGAGACUUAUGGCAAAAAGAACUAGCAAUAAGUAGGGGAUUUCAAAAGAUAAACUUUUCUUUUAUUUUCCCCAAGACUCCCAUCAUCUGUUCAUAGCUUUGCUUUGCUUUAAAAAUGACAUAUGGACAAAUUCUCAAAAUAACACAGGUGAUGUUGCCACAGUUUAUCUAAUGUUGGAGAGGCCAUGGCCCAGCGGUGCUGUAGAUACAAGGGACUCGGUGCUUCAGGUUCACACAGAUUUUUGAGAAAGUAAACAGAAGGGGUUGAGAAGGAAGUGUAGUUGAUCCCUAGUGUGGAAUUAGGAAUAAAACAUGAAAGCUUAGGCAUCAGAAUAUUGAGACUUCGUCAAUAGAAAUGGAUUCAAGCACACAUGAGGUAUUUCACUGUAAAUACGUAGCAGAAUGUUCUCUCCCAUUUGAAAAUGCACUUAUAGCAAAAAGGAAAUUUGUAUCAAAACUCUUCUAGGUUUAUGAUUGAAAGAGUGCUGAGAAAAUAAAAGCAUAAAUUCAUGUAGCUCUUUCAAUGCCCCUGCAGCUGACUUCCUUAAGCAUAGAGAAUGUGUUUUUAAUUAUAAUCACUCUGGCCACACUAUCACUGUUUUUUUGGAGAUGCAUGAUGUUUAUUUGGAAGAUUUUCUGUUGCUUUAGAACCACAAAACUGCUGACAUUUUGCAAUGCACUGAAAGUGAUGCUCUAUAAAGAUUUCCAUGAGAUGAUGGUACAGUGAGACUACUUAUGGUCUCUAUGAUAUUAUUGAUGGACAUAGUGGCAGUCAGAUAUGUGUGGGGUAAUAAGGCAUUGACAUGUUUUCAAGGAACAUAGAAGACAGUCAAGUCCCCAGACCCAGCAAUUCAUGUAAAUGGACCUUACAGUAGAGUAUUCAGAAUCAUAGGCCAGGUUUAUAAGGAGAAGGUUGGUGAUAACUAUGAAAUAUUUAAAUAACUAAUAACAUCAACUAAAUAAGCCAGAAAGCCAUGACUCUUUAAAGUGAAUAAAUAGAUCAUUCCUAUAGAAAAAUGGGUUUAACUUCCUUCUUUUGUGAGUGAUUGUGAAUGAUUAAAACUCAUUUCUGUUUACCUCCAUGUAGUUGUCCUUAUGGUUUUCUGUCACUUAACUUGAAUUCUUAAUACAUUUUAAAGUAUCAAAUUGAAAAUAAAGUAUCUGUUAAGAGGUUUCUCACCCUAAGUUUAUAAGUUUUCAUGAUGCUAUGUUCUGGAAGUACAGCAAACUCUCAUUAGUUAGGAUUACACUAAUUUAACUCAUCAUCUCAAUAUUGUGUCCUUAAACGUAACACCUAUAUACAGUUGUUAGUGUGAGUACAUGAACUAAUAAAUCAGUAAAUCUGUCUUUUCAGUUCCUUGGUACUUUCUCUGGGUUAGCAAAAAAAAAAAAAAAAAAAAAACUUAAGCUUUUGCUUUCCCAGAUGGUCUCUGUUUUGCCCAGGGUUUCUCAGAGUAUAAUUUCUCCAAGCUCAAGGUAGUUCUAGAUUUUAAAGAUAAAUAUUUUUCAGUAUGGCCUUCAAAUGUUAGACAAUUAUGUAAUCUGGUACUUCUUCAAAAAAGCUAAAUUCUCUUCCCACUUAGUAGGGAAAUCUAAUUGAGAGAGCAUGUUGGUCUCCAAAUGGCAAUUUCUAAGGGAUUUGUAAAGGUUUAUGCAUGAUUUUCCCCAUGGUAGUUGAUAUUUCAAAACCUACUUUCCCCCAUCCCCACUGCUUUUAUAAAGCUCAGCUCUAUGAGAACCUAUGAAGAUGUUUUUAAAAUCCCUGGUGCUGAGAUUCCUACACUUGAGUAUGUGUACAGAAGAUCAGCUGGGAUCUUGUUAAAUAUGUUGCUUAUCAGACAACAUCCGUAGAAAUUCAGACUGAAUAGGUCUUGGAUUGCACUUUGGAAAUUGUGCUUGUAAAAGCUGCAGGUGGAUGUUGUAGGGGACAUCCCAGGCCAUACUUGGAGAACAGUUGCCUUAGAUUGCUCAGUGUGCUGGCAUGGUUGUGUGGGUGUACAAACAUCAUGCACGCCCAUGCAGUCUAGUCUAUCAGGCAGUCUGCUCCCGUCUGGUUGUCCAUAUCCCAUAUCUCUCCUCUGCCUCACACCUGCCCCCUCACCCUUGCAAUUAUGUCAUAAUUUUACAAAGUUAGCUUCCCAGGAGACCUAUGGUAGAUAAAAUUAAUAUUAUUAUAGAAAAGGUCCUAAAAUUUUUCUCUGGGGUAGGUGACACUUUGCUUUUGAAAAAGCUGUACUUCCUUUUCUGUGGGAUAGCAGAGCUAGACUGCCCUUGAUAAGUAUGCCUCUUUCUUUCAAUGCCUCUCUUCCAUCCUACAUUGAUAGUGCCCUGUCUGCCAACGUUUUCUCCACCAUAACAUACCCUGAGACAUGUCCUAAUUCUCAUUGCUCUCCCUAGUUUUUCAAAACACUUUCAUGAGCAGCAGAUGGUCUGAAAAGCAAGUUAAUCUGUAACGUGGUAUAAAUGGGAAUUAGUAAAUACUGGUGAAUCCAAGCAUUAAACCUGGGGCUGCAUCUUCAUCAACAGUAAGUAAGUUGUAGGUUUUGUGCUCGCUUAGAGGGGCAAAGGGGCAAGGGGGUUUUUCUGCUCAAGGGACAUAUAAUAUAUUGGUGGGAAUUUCAAUAUGAUACCUUGAAACUGGGGAAAUAAAUUUGAGCAAAUGUAGGAUAGGUAUGCUUUGCGUCUCUUUAUUGGGUGGCGAAGUUCUGCUCCUUCAUACAGAUGUUUCUGCUUCACCCUUUGGGCUGUAAAUCCCUCGAAGUCUCUUAGGUUCUACACACAGCUCCUGUACCACUGUGGACUAAAAAAAUAGUAAGUUGCAUUACAUCCUCCACCCAGUAGAAACUAAUGAUGGGUUUUCAUAUAAAGUGAAAGGAAGAUUUUUUUAAAAAUUCAAAUUAACAAAAAUUUAUUAGGCAUAUUUGUCUUCAUAAACUAUUUGCUAUUGGGUACGAUACUCAGUUUUGGGUAUUAUAUAAUGGCAAAUAACCGUUUUCUGCUUGUGAUUUUACCGAUUAUCAAUAGUGCAUUCUUUGUUACUCCUACCUAAAGAUUGAUUGAUUGAUUGAAUCUGUACUUUAAAAAUGGCUUCUUAAUCCUAUUGUUUUUCUCUUGUUUAGUAUCUGCUGUUACUAUGAACCGUUUUUUUUUUUUAAGAUUUUUUAUUUAUUUGUCAGAUAGAGAGGGAGAGGGCACAAGUAGAGGAAGCUGCAGGCAGAGGGAAAAGCAGACUCUCCGCCGAGCAGGGAGCCUGAUGUGGGACUCGAUCCCAGGACUCCGGGAUCAUGACAUGAGCCACCCAAGUGUCCCAUCCAUUUUCUAAAUAUACUUGAAGAUGGGCAAAAUGGAGAAGUGAGUAUGCUUUUCCCAGUUUUUUCAAGAGUACAAAAGUACAUGUUACAAAGACUGGAAUUUGGAUUCAGUAUAUACAUAACUUGUUAAGGAUAGCUACCCCAAGAUAGAAACAAUAGCUUUCUUGAGGGAGUGAAACUUAGAUCAGACGUGAUCUGACUUCCUCUGAGGUUCCUGCUUCCCAGGAACUGUUGACUAGACAAUGUGCAAACACCCUUCCCAUUCAGGAUCAGGAAAAUCCUGAAGCCAGAGUGUAUUGGAGUGUGCCUGGAGGGCGCUGGACUAUCCAUUUAUAAAAUGCCCACUAGAGGGAGUAUAACAUCAUGAAUAUUUCCUUCCAGGUGCCUUCUUUCUGGUAAGCAAGAUUGAAAGGCAAAUAUCUAGAAUUUAUUUCAUGUUCUCUUUAAUAUUUUUCUCAUUGAAAUCUUAUGGAAAAUUCUGAUAAGCAAAUAUGUUUUUAAGAAAAUUUAGUGCAGUAUACAAUAAUGGAACAUUAGUAUCUUUCUUGUACAUGUGAAAAGUUCAGAAUUUAAAAUCGUGUAGACAGAAAAUCGAGAUCAGUUAUUUGUGCCUAUCAAUAUAAAACCUCUUGAUUCUACAUCUGAGUAUGUUUCACCAAAUUGUCUUAGGUUUGUUGUUACUGUUUUAUUUGCGGUGGAUAUGAUUCCACUAUUUACCUGUGAGCCUGCCACUUUAUUAUAGCUUUCCCGAAAAGACUUCAAGAUGCACUUUUUCACUGGAGAAUUGGUUUGAUUAUACAGUAACAAAAUCAGAUGUUUAAUUCUUAAUUAAAAAAAUCUAUUUGUCUUAGGAAAAUUAAAAAUGGAAAUUUCUCAGGGAUAAAAAGUCCUACUUAUUCUUAUAUAAGUGGUUCUGCAUUUAUAUCUUACUUUCUCAUAUUUCUGUUAAAAUAUCUUACAUUUUUCCCAGUUUUCCUAAUUUGAAAAACAGUCAAAAUUUGAAUAAGUUGCCAAGUUCUGUUUUGAACUUUUUAUUUUUGAAUAUUUGGAGAAAAAAAUAAAAAUAAUUUAUCUCUUUCGAAGCACUGAACAUUAAAACAUAAUUUUAAAAGUUAAAAGUAAAAUAUUUAUGCAAAACUGAGAUGAUAUAAACUUUUUUAUUGGUACAUUUUAAACUUGAUUUACAAAAUUCUCAUCAAAGAAAAAGAAGUGCAUGUAUAUCAUUGGAAAUAUUUUUUUAAUGAAAAAAAUUAACUUCUUAGCAUAUUAACUAUUUGAAAAACAUGUCCAACUGAUUUUAUCACUCACCUUCCUGUCAGCAUUUGUGGUCAAAAAAGAGUUUUCCCCUAACCUCUCAGUUCACUGAAAAUUGUAACUUUUAUUUAGAUUGAAUUUUUUCAUAUUCCUUUCCCAUUGCAGUAAAAAAAAAUACCACCACUUUGUAAGUGAUGUGUUGAUGUGGAAAUAGCUAUUUUGACUUUAUAUUGACUUUUAAUAAAUUAUUUGGGGCAAGGGUGACUUCUUGAUCUCUUGAACUGUUCUUUUGUUCUUUUCUUACAUUUGCUUCUAUUCGCCUGAAUGAUGCUGUCACUGGGUCGACUCCUUCAUUACCUCACUUGUAAAUAAAAUCAAUCUCCAACUUUCUUCAAAAGUCAGGCUUUUUCAUUGUACUUUUAUUUACGUUUAGAAAAGUUUAGUAUGAAAUUAAUACAUACUUGUUGUAAACAACCAAACAUACGUAAAUGGUACUGCAGGACAAAAAUUAAAAGGUAAAAUUUUUUUUUCCGUCUCUUAGACUUUGUUCUCCCUCUGUGGAAUUUGAAUCUUCUCAGAUAUUUUCUAGUACAUGCAAUCCUGCUAUAUACACAUUAUUAAAUGUGUAUAUUUCCUUUCCUUUUUUUUUUUUUUACAAAAAUGGAAUCAUAUGAAAAAUACUCUUCUGUGGCUUUCUUUUUUUCACUAACAGUGUAUUUUUAAGAGGGUUCUGUGUCAGUACUUACAGAAUUACUUCAGUUUUUACAGUUCCAUAAAAUUCCGUAUUUUAUUUAGGCUCCAGUUUCCUACCGAUAGACAUUUAAAUUGUUUCCAAUAUUGCAUUAUAUCAUAGUGCUGCAGUGUAGGAAUUUGAGCAAACAUUUUUGGGAUCUCGUUCAUUUCCUAUCUUUUUAUAAUUAAAAUGUGCUGAAAAAAAUGGCAGACUUACAAUUUAUGUUUUAUUCAUGGCCUAUUUCCACAAAGUUUAUAAGAUGUCUAUGUUUUGUAUCAUUCUGUAUCUCUGAACGAUAUUUACUUUUAUCAACAAAGCAUGUUGGAUGCCAAUAAUCAGAAUUCAAAACAAAAAAUGUUUAUUUCUCUGAAUGUAUCUUUACCAGAAAGUGAAAGAAUCAUUUGUCUUACUAAUUCAGGUGGAAACACUAUGUGAAAGAUUGGAGGAAAAAUUCCCUCAGUGAAUUACUAGAAUCACUGUGACUUUAGAUCAGGUUGAUCAAAUAUGAAAUUAACUGUUGGAUGUUAAUAUUUUUGUUGUUAAUUAAAUGGCAAGCAUUGAGUGGUUAGGUAAAACUGUCAUGACAACACACUCUGGAGUACUCUGUAGUAAUUAAAAGCAACAAAUUAUAUGUGCAUAAAGCAACAUGAAUAUAUUGUAAGAACACUAUUGAAUGAUUAAUAAAGAGAAUGAAUCAAAAUCUGUAUAAAUCAAUAAACUUUGUUGAUUAUGAGGUUAUAAAUCAAUGCAUUUUACAUUAAAAUAUACACAAGACAUUGUAUAUUAAACAAAAAUUCCUAGGAAUUCAAGGCUAUCCAAUAUGUUAGCAUGGUUCUAGAAACAGUGAAAUGGGAUUGGGGAAUGAACAAAAGACAGGCAGAAAAUAAAACAAAGAAUAAGCAUUUUAACAAUGUUUUCAUGAUUUAGGGGAUACUGAUGUGUCUUUUUGCUGGAAUCAAUGAUUUCCCAUGAACACUUUCUAAAUUGACCUGUUCUUUGAAUAUUUUUGUUUUUUUCAAGUGGACAGUUGCUGGAAUAGGCAGGAAAGAUGCAGUACUCACAUUCCUCAAAUACAGUGACAGGAAUUAGUAUCUAGCUAUAAUUCUGUGGCUGUAAAUGAUGGUAUAUUUUAGAGAUGACAGUAGUGGGAGGUUACCUGUAUUCUGGGUCUACCUGGGACUUGUUUGAGGUGGUUAAAUUGCUCAAAAGAUGAGAGAUACAUGGUUGUAUUAAAGCUUUGUUAUAACAUGACCCCAAAGUCAGGACACAAGGAUAGCCCAGGUAGCUAACUGUUUGGACUCUUCUUCCUGGCUCUCUGAAGAGAUGUUCCAAGAGCUGGGAAGUGGGCCUGAGGGGUAGAACUGUCCAGUAGUCAAGGUUCAGAGCCAAAGGGAACUAAAGACUGCGUCGUGAGCAAAUGAUAAAACAAACAGCUAAAAUUUGCAUCCAACAUGCUACACCUGGUCCUAACCAUGCAACACAUACCUGUUCAAUCUUCACAACAAAGCCAUGAGGUUAUAGAUGAGAAAACUGAGCCACAGAGAAGUAAAGUACUGGGCUUAAGAUUAUGCGAUUAGUGAAUGGUGGAACUGAUAUUGAAAUCCAGGAUGAUUGCUAAAGGGUCUAUGUUCUUACCCAAUAUUGCCUCUUUGAAAAGGGUGGGGAUGGUGAAAUAAUCAACCAUUUCAUGUGGUAGGUUCUGGUGGGCUUGUAGAAGCAGUGGUGGAGAUGGAAUCCAAAGACAUGGAGGGAAGGCCUGGUGGAAUGGGAUAGAAGGGUCAGCAAGAAGUGGUAGAAAUCCCGAGGCCAUUCUGUGGGGGCUGGAGGGGUUGUGUCGUGCGUCCUGGUCUUGAUGAACAAGGCAGGAGCUCCGAGGGCUGGUCAGCCCGUUUGUGUAAUAGGAAGAUCUCAGUUCCCUUCAUCUCUCAAGCCUUAGCACAGAUUUCUGAAUAAUAAGUUUGGCAGUGUGGAGGCAGCCAAAUCAGGAUUCUGGAAACGGGAUAUUCUUUGUUUUGGUGAAGUUGGCAGCCCUCUCUGUAUCUUCUUUCUGGAUGAAUAAAAACUCCAAACAUCAUGAGCCGGAUGUUUGAAUGUUUUUAAACCUUGUAAUUUUGUGGAUUUUUCCUGGCCCCCUUCCCCAGACUCCCACCCCAGUGAUGUCACGAAGCUUUUGCAUUCGGUUUCUUCAUUUCUCUUGACUUUCCAAUGAAGAAAGUGUGAUUUGAGUUUCUUUUCUCAGGAAGGUGAUGGCAAAAGGAUAUUUAUAGUGUUGAAGAAUUUUUAUUUUCUCUCAGACAUCUAGGAUGAGUAGUAUAUUUUAAACCCUACUCUCCAGGAUAUCUCCCUUCUGCUGAGAUAAUAAAAUUGAUCAGAUGUUUUGAGGUUAAAUAAACUUUUGUAAUAAUCUGGCAGCUGCCCGCUGGUUAUGGUUUUUCAAAAGCAAUUACUCACUCUGGAGUCAACUUUGAACUCUACAUUUUAAUUGAAAAAGCUAAUUGUAGGCUAUUGCUUCUGAUGGAGCGUUUGAUUUGGCAGCUUAGGAAGUAAAAGGACAUUGAGAAGGGAGGGGAGAGGAAGAGAAAGUAAAGUGUUGUGGAGCUUAAAUUCCUGUUUAUGUACGAUUGUUUUCACACACAACACAUCGUAUGCAACCGGAGAAAUGGCAGUUGGACUAAAAAGUCUCUGAGGCAUCCGUCUGAGACUGGAACCGUACUUUAUGAUAACAUCUAUGGAGGGAGAUAAGGGAUAAUAAGAGAAGAAGAAUUUGAAGUUGGUGAUCUACAAUUAUAUUCAGCAUCUCAGAAGCUGGCAUGAAAAAAAGUUUUAAAAUGGAUUCAACUAAUGUAUGCGUUUUCCAGGGGAGGAUGCGAGAGAAAACAAAAGGCAAGCAAUAAUUAAAAGGGAAUAAUUUCAACUAGAGAAUAUGGACUAAAGGCCAGGUGAAAGAGUGAACAGGACACAAAUAGAGGGUGAAAAGCAGAGUCAAUGUUUUAGAUGUUUCACUGAAGCUGAAGAAUGUAAGCUGAAACAACAGCAGGUGGCAACCAGAGAAAAGAGUGAUUGAUUUUAAGAUUUCACGUGCAGUGAGUUACUGCUGGUGCAAAGUCAACAUCACUGGCUGGGAAGGGGGUGGAAGAACAGGUGAUUAGAGGUGAGGAAGGGAAGGAUCUGUCAGGCAGGUGAAAUGGUUCCUCCACAUGAAUUCUGAAGUCACCAAGAAUGAUGGCAUGAAUAGGAACGGAGAAGAAGAAGAGAAUGAGUCCAAAGCAAAUGUGAAGGAGUGAUUGAGUCAAUACAUGAGAAUAAGAAGGUGUAGGGGGUGAUUUUGUCUUAUGGUGCAAGCUUCAAACAGGAGGGAGUCAUGCACACCAAACUUCUUCCCUUCUGAUCCUAUGGUAUAUGGGGUAUGAUAGAAAAAAUACUUCGCUUUAGACUGUUGCAAGGAAAGUUACGUCAUCAGGACUUAGGAAGUUAAAGAUAAUAUUCACAGAAGAGUUCGAAGGGAUAAGGGAAUCUCAGGAUGACAUACUGACUUCAUAAUUUGCAGGACCCAGUACAAAAUGGAAAUGUAGGAAAUCAUGUCCAAAAACCAGUUAGAAUGUCACGAUGGUGACAAAUGAACAUUACAUCAAAUGUGAGCCCUUGUAAGUGUGGGGUCCUGUGUGACUGUACAGGUCGCAUGCCUGUGAAGCUGCCACCACAGUUUUUGGGGUUUCACGCGGCUAGGAAAAAGAUUUGGGAGAGAAGGCAGAAUUUGGUCAGAUUAGGAGAUAUAUUAAAUUUCUUUGUUUGAAGCUGCUCUGUGCCUAAAUGCUUAAACACUAUUAUCAUUUAAUGCUUCUAAUAGAUGAGGUGAGUAUUAUUUCCUCAUUUUACAGAUAAGGAAUGUGAAGCACUGGAAAUUCAAGUGAUUUGCCCAAGGUCACAGUAAGUGGAAGCCUGGUUCUAGAUCUGUGUUUCUAACUAGCAAGCUCUGUAGCUUAUCAGUGGAUCUAGAGAUAAUAGAUGGUUUGGGAGGCUCAGACUUUGGGUUGGCCAAAGUGAACAGGAGUGCAAGAUGUGAUAGGAUUAGUCCUCAUGAAGUCCUUAGAGAAGGAAGAAGAAUCAGCUACAAAGUAUAGUUUUUUGUUUGAUUUUUCUUUAAACUAUAUUGAGGUACAACUGACGUGUAAUAUAUUAGGAUAUUAAAGUAUACAUUGUGAUGAUUUGACAUACAUUGUGAAAGGUCCCCCUGUUCUGGUUUAACACAUCCAUCACUUCACAUAUUUAUCUUUUUGUUUGGUUGGUUCUUUUCUGGUGAGAACAUUUAAGUUCUACUCCGCAAAAUUUCACUAUACAGUACAGCAGUAUCAGCUCUAAUCACCAUGUUUUACAUUAGAUCUUUAGACCUCAUGUGUCCCAAGAAAAUGAAAAGAGGCUAUCACAGAGGCAUCGGCACAAAGAGAUACGCUCUUUAUGACGCUAUUCACAAUAGUCAAGAUAUGGAAAGAAGUGUCCAUCCAUGAAUAGAUAAAAAUGAGGUAUAUAUUUUUUAAAUGAAUAUACAAUAGAAUAUUGUUCAGCUAUGGGAAAGAAGGAAAUCCUGCCAUUUGCGAUAACAUGGAUGGACCUUGAAGCAUUAUGGGAAGAGAAAUAAUCCAUAGAGAGAAAGACAAAUACUGCUAGAUAUCACAUAUACAUGGAAUCUUAAAAAAAAAAAAAAAGUCAAACUCAUAGAAACAAAAAACAGAAAAGUGAUAGCCAGGAGCUGGUGGGUGGGGGAGAUAGGGAGAGAUUGGUAAAAGGGUAUAAACUGUCAACUCUAAGGCGAAUAGGGUCCAAGGAGCUAAAGUAAAACAUGGCGACUAUAGCUGGUAACACUGCAGGGUACGGUUUUGAUUCCCUAACAUGUAAGUAUUCUCAGUUAUCUCUCAUGUUCUACUUUCAAAGAAGAAAUGUGCUUUCUUGGAAUUGUGCUUUUCAAACAAAGUGUUAUAAACAGAAAUAAUUUGAUUAAAUUAUUUGAUGAAAGUUUGAGAAACAAAAUUGAGUAAAUGAAAUCAUUAUUGACGGAGGUGGCACAAAAGGAAAAAAAAAGUCCUCACAUAUGGAUGAAUUUUUACACACUGAAAAAUUGUUUAUGUCCCUUAGGAAAAUUUGUGAUCUAAUUUCUUAGCUCUCUGGUUUGCUUUGGCCCUUUACAUAAGAACCCAAUAAUCCUACUGGGUACUGCUUAGUUUGCAGGCAGAAUUAUUUCAUUUAUGACUAAAUCUCAGUUUAUUCUUUGUCUCCAGACUCUUUGACACUGCUCUGUGUAUGAGGGAUUGGGGGAGGAAAAGAUGCAAUUAAUUUCAGUCCAACUGAUUAUUUACCAAUGCUUUUUGAAAAAAGAUACAGCUGGUUGCAUGAUUUAUUGGCCUAUGUAAUCUAUGUACUUAUUGAAAUAUGAAUUGAUUAAAGUUCUCUGUCUAAACUUUGCUUUUGUUUUAAUAGGCCAAUUAUAAAUAAAAGUUUUGGUCUGUUUGAUAUAAUCCAAGGUAGAAAACAAAGAACAACUAAGGAGUAGGCCUCCUAAUGUUUUUAAUGCAUUCCCUGAAGUCUACCAUUUCCUUUCCAGUUCUGUAUUUGAGAUGAGUGCAUCUGUUCGCACACUUGUAUAUGUGACACCUUGUAAAGGCCCAGCUAGAUUAAAAAUGAAAGAAAUACACUCAGCCUCUUCCAUUUUCAGCAUUAAUGAAACGAGGAAUCUUCAAUUAUGUUUCUUAGUUAAUAAAGUUAUA